UUGCAUUACCACAGAGGGUACAAGGGACUGUUAAUGUGUUUAAAUGCAGCUGUGGUCCUUAUGUUAAUCUAGGAUCUCAUUUGCACCUAACUUCCUUUACAUUAUUCAGUGGUUACUUAGGACUAUUAAUGUGCUUAAUUGCAGCUACAGUCCAUUCUAUUAGCCUAGGAACCAAUCCCUUUCUACUUGAUGUGAAUUACAGGAGAGCAAACUUGGGACUGUUAAUGCGCUUAAAUGCAAUUAAAGUCCCUUAUAUUAACCUAGGAUCGCAACCCACCUAAUUCUCUUUCCAUUAUUGCAAAGGGUGCUUCGGAUUGCUAAUGUGCUUAAAUGCAACUGAAGUUCUUUUUGUUAGUUUAGGAUCCCAUCCCCUUGUACUCCCUUUGCAUUACAGCAGAGAGUAUUUGGGACUUUAAUGUGCUUAAAUGCAACUACAAUCCCUUCUGUUAGUGAAGGGUUCCGUCCUCCCCAACUCCCGCUGCACCACAGCAGAGGCUAUUUGGGACUGGUACUGUGCUGUAAUGCAGCUACAGUCUGUUUUGUUAACCUAGGAUCUCAUACCCACCUAACUCCCUUAACGCUAUUACAGAGGGUACCUGGACUGCUGAUAUGCUUAAAUGCAGCUCUUGCCCCUUAAAUAUGUUUGGGAUUGCAUCCUUCUAGAGAGUACUUUGCAUCACAACAGAGAGUACUUGGACUGUUAAUGUGCUUAACUGCAGCUAUAGUCCAUUCUGUUAGCCUAGGAACCAGUCCCUUACUACUUCGUAUGAAUUAUAGGAGAGUAAACUUGGGACUGUUAAUGUGCUUAAAUGCAAUUAUAGUCCCUUAUGUUAACCUAGGAUAGCAAGCUACCUAAUUCUCUUUCCAUUAUUGCAGAGGGUGCUUGGGACUGUUAAUGUGCUUAAAUGCAGCUGUGGUCCCUUAUGUUAAUGUAGGAUCUCAUUCACACCUGGCUUUAUAUUAUGCAGGGAUUACUUAGGACUGUUAAUGUGCUUAAUUACAGCUACAGUCCACUCUUUUAGCCUAGGAACCAGUCCCUUAAUACUUGAUGUGAAUUACAGGAGAGUGAGCUUGGGACUGUUAAUGUCCUUAAAUGCAAGUACAGUCCCUUUAUUAGUCUUUGAUCCCAUCCCCUUCUGCCCCCUUUGCAUCACAGCAGAGGGUAUUUGGGACUUAAAUAUGCUUAAAUGCAGUUAUAGUCCCUUAUAUUAACCUAGGAUCCCAACCCACCUGAUUAAUUUUCUACAUAUUGUAAGGUAUGCUUGGGACUUUAAUGUGCUUAAAUGAAGCUAUUAUCCCUUCUGUUAGUGCAGGAUUCCAUUCUCCCCAACUCUCCUUGCAUCACAGCAGAGGGUAUUUGGGACUGUUGCUGUGAUUUAAUACAGCUGAUGUCCCUUUUGUUAACCUAAGAUCCCAUUCCCACCUAACUCCCUUAAUGCUAUUACAGAGGGUAGCUGGACCGUUGACAUGCUUAAAUGCAGUUUUUGCUCCUUACAUAUGUUUAGAUUUCAUCCUUCCACCUUCCUUUGCAUCACAACAGAGUACUUGGGACUGUUAAUGUGCUUAAAAGCUGGUAUAGUUCCUUUUGUUGGUAGGAUCCCAUCCCUUUCUACUCAUAUUUGCAUUACUACAGAGAGUACUUGGGAUUGUUAAUGUGCUUAAAUGCAGUUAUUGUUCCUUAUGUUAGGGUAGGAUUCCACUCUCCCCACACCUUUUGAUCAUAGUGGAGAGUAUUGGGACUGCUAGCGUGCAUCUUUAGUCCCUUCUGUUAGUCUUGGAACCUAUCCCAACCUAUUCUCUCCGACCACAGAGGGCACAAAGGACUGUUGAACUGAUUAAUGUGGCUAUGGUCCCUUCUGUUAGUCUAGAAUCCCAUCCCCUACUACUGUCUUUGCAUUACCACAGAGGGUACAAAGGACUGCUACUGUGCUUAAUUGCAGCUAUGGUCCCUUAUGUUAAUCAAGGAUUUCAUUCACACCUAACUUCCUUUACAUUGUACAGGGGUUACUUAGGACUGUUAAUGUGCUUAACUGCAGCUACAGUCCACUCUAUUAGCCUAGGAACCAGUUCCUUUCUACUUGAUGUGAAUUACAGGAGAGUGAAUUUGGGACUGUUAAUGUGCUUAAAUGCAAUUAAAGUCCCUUAUGUUAACCUAGAAUCCCAACAUACCUAAUUUCUUUACAUUAUUGCAGAGGAUGCUUGGGACUAUUCAUGUGCUUAAAUGCAGCUAUAGUGCCUUCUGUUAGUCUUGGAUCUCAUCCCCUUCUGCUCCCUUUGUGUUAAGAGCAGAGGGUAUUUGGGACUUACUGUGAUUUAAUGCAGCUGGUGUCCGUUUUGUUAAAGGAGGAUCCUAUACCCACUUAGCUCCCUUAGCACUAUUAGGUAGGGUACCUGGACCAUUGAUAUGCUUAAAUGCAGUUUUUGCUCCUUAAAUAUGUUUAGAUUCCAUCUUUCUACCUUCCUUUGCAUCACAACAGAGAGUACUUGGGACUGUUAAUGUGCUUAAAAGUCGCUAUAGUCCCUUUUGUUCAUAGGAUCCCAUCCCUUUCUACUUGCUUUUCAUUACCACAGAGGGCACAAGGGACUGGUAAUAUGUUUAAUGUUGCUAUUUUCCCUUAUUAGUCUAGGAUCCCACCCCUCCUACAUUACUUCAGGGUACAAGGGACUGUUGAUGUGCUUAAAUGCAGUUAUGGUCCCUUAUGUUAACCUGGAGUCUUAUCCCCAUCUAACUCCCUUUGAAUUAUUGAAGGGUAACAUGAGACUUAAUAUGCUUAAAUGAAGCUACAGUCCUUUCAGUUAUUGUAGGGUAUCACCCCCUUGUUGCCUUGCAUUAAAAGAGGGUACAGGGAACUUCUCAUGUGCUUAAAUUCAGUUACAAUCCCUCCUGUUAGCUUAGGAUCCAAUCCCCAUCUGACUCCCUUUACAUUAUUGCAGAGGGUACAAGGGACUAUUACUGUGCUUCAUUGCAGCCACAGUCCCUAAUGUUAACCUAGGAUGGCAUCCCCCCCCCCCCCACUUUCUUUGCAUUAACACAGAGGGUACGAGGAUUGGUAAUGUGUUUAAAUGUACCUGCGGUCACUUAAUGAUAAUCUAAUAUCCUGUCCUCAUCUAAUGCCCUCUACAUUGCUUUGGAGGGUACAAGGGACUGUUAAAGUGCAUAAAUGCAAGCUCUGGUCCCUUAUGUUAAUCUAGGAUCCCAUUCCCACCCAACUCCCUUUGCAUCACUGCAAAGGGUUCCUGGGACUGUUAAUGUACUCAAAUGCAGCCAGAGUCCCUUUUGUUAGUCUAGGAUCUCAUACUCUCCUACUCACUUUGCAUUACCACAGACAGUAUUAAGGACUGUUAGGUGCAUAAAUGCAUGUGUCCCAUCAGUUAACCUAGGAUCCCAUACCCACCUAACUCCUUUGCAGAGGGUACCUGGGACUAUUAAUAUGCUUGUAAAUGCACUACAGUUACUUUUGUUAGUCUAGGAUCCCAUCCCUUUCUACUUGUGCAUACCUCAGGGUAGAAGGGACUGUUAAUGUGCUUAAAUGCAUCUCUUGUCCCUAUGUUAACCUAAGAUCUCAUCCCCUCCAACUCCCUUUGCAUUACUGUAGAGGGUACUUGAGACCUUUAAUGGGCUUGAUUGUAGCUGUGGCCCCUUCUUUUAGUCAAGUUUCCCUUGCCCUCCAAUUCUCUGCUUUUUAGUAGAGGGCACUUGGGAUUAAUGAUGUGCUCAUCUGCAACUGUGGUCCCUUGAGUUAAUCUAGGAUCCCAUCCCUUCCUACUCUUCUGUAUGACUUGGGGGUACUUGGGACAGAAAGGUGCUUAAUUGUAGCUAGAGUCCUGUAUGUUAGUCUAGGAUCCCAUGCCCUCCAACUCCCUUUACAUUACCUGGAAGGAUUUGGGGGACCAUUAAAGUGCUCAGUUGCAGCUACGGUCUCAUGUUGGUCUAGUUUCCCAUCCUUUCCACUCCUUUUGCGUGACCUGGAAGCAGAUUUGGGACUAUUAACGUGCUCAUUUGCAGCUGUGGUCCCUUCUGUAGUCUGGAGUCACUUGCCCUCUAACUUACUUUGCUUUACCAUAGAUGGUACUUUGGACUGUUAAUGUGCCUAAAUGAAGGUAUGGUCCCUUUUGUCAAUCUAGGAUCUCACCUCCUUUCCAUUACUUGGUUGCAGAUUUGUUACUGAAAGGUGCUUAACUGCAGCUGUGUUCUGCUGUGGUAGUCUAGCAUCCAACACCUUCCAACUCCUUUGCAUUACAGCAGAGGGUGUUUGGGGCUGUUAAAUGCUCACUUAUAGCUGUGGUCCUUUCUCUUGUCUGGAAUCCCACGUCACCAACUUCUCUGACGUUCCCCGGCAGUUUUCGGGACUAUUAAAGUACACCGUUUCCCAUGGUCUUAUACUGCAUUUACAGUACUUGGGAUUGUAUUUGGGACUGUUAAAAGUGCUUAAUUGAGCUGUGGUCCCUUCCUAUUAGUAUGGUUUCCCCUGCCCUCUUUACCCUCUUUGCAUUACACAGAGGGUACUUGGGACUUUGAAAGUGCUUAACAGCAGCCAUGGUCCCUUUUGUAUUUUAGGAUCUCAUGACCUCCCACUCCCUUUACAUUACCUGGAAAGGUUUGGGGCUGUCAAAGUGCUCGAUUGUAGCUGUGGUCCCUUCUGCUAGUUUGGGGAUCCAUGCCUUUCAAUUUCGUUUGCAUUACCACAGAGAGUACUUGGGACUGAAGGCAGGUGUGAUCUCUUUUGUUAGUUUAGGAUCCCAUAAUCUCCCAAUCCCUUUAUGUUACCUGGGAAGGCACUUGGGACUGUUAAGGUGCCUAACUGCAGCAGUGGUCCCUUCUGUUAGUCUAUGAUACAGUCCCCUCCUACUCCCUUUGCAUUACCUCAGAUGGUACUUGAGAUUGUCAAGGUGCAUCCCUUCCUCUCACACCCUGUUAGCACUACAGCAUUACCUGCUGAACACAAGGCUGCUUUUUUUGCACUGUUACCGUGCAUAAUUGCAUUUGUCCCUCUUACUCUGCAGUAUAUAAAAUCCUCACUUAUUUCCCUUGUAUUCAUCAGUGGAUGUCCUUUACUCAAGACCUUUGUGCCUGGGUAGUUAAAGUGAGCCGUGAUAAUUGACUAUAGCUAUGUCUUUCAUUUAAGUCCCCUGUACUCUUUGUUUAAAAGAAGGUGUUACUUUUUUUAACUACCACAUUAACUUUUUCUGGGACUACUGAUGUGCAAAAUUCCAAUUUUCAUGGUCCCUCCCUUUAAUAUCCCACCUGUUUCAUAUUACAGCAGGGGAUGCUAGUCACCCAAAGUCCUUCAUUUGGGACUUUAAUGCACAUGUGCCCUCCUGAUAAUAAGCUAAUAUCCUUACUUCUUGGUAUUAUAGCAGGGGUAUUAUAUUAUACUGACCACCUGAAGUCUUUUCUUUUGGCCAGUUUAAUGUGCAAAAUUGCACUAGGAUCUGAUCCCCAUCACACCUCCUUUACAUGGGGGUGCUGAGCAUCUAUGGCUACUUCUCCUGUACAAUUUAAGUGUGCAUAAUUUCAGUAAUCCAUGCUCCUUUAUGUCAGAAUGGGAUCCCACUUCCUCGCCCCAUUUACAUUACUGCAGGGGCUUCUGGCUAGCCAAGAUUCACUCUCUUGGAUUGUUACUGUGCAGAGUUAUAUUUACUUCUGCACCUGUAUAUCACGUUUAAGACCCUCUUCAUACUAUUAAUAUUCUAGCAGGAGGUGCCUAUUGCUCAAGACCUUACACACUAAUGUACUUAAUGUAUACACUCUUAUUGUCUUAUAGACACUCUGAGUUGUCCACUACUGUGCCUUUUAGAUCAUAUUCUGCACUUACUGAAACAGGUACUGUCACACAUCAUAAAGACCUUCUCUUGGGACUGUGGAUAUGUAAUUACAGUUGUCCGUGGUCUUAAGUUACCUUGGGUUCCUGAUUGCUUUUCAUACCCUCUUUGCUUUACUGCAUGGGUUACUGUCCACUUAUGGCCCCUCUCUCAAACUGUGAAUGUGCAUAAUGACAAUUACAUUAGGAUCCUUUCUCCUCACAGUCCCUUUUAAGUUUUGCAGGGAUUUUUACCCCUAAGGGCCCAUUUCUUGGCCUGUUAAUAUGGUUAAUUGUCUUUGGGUUCCUGUGAAUUAGGCAAGGACACCUCCCCCCACUCCUCUUCUCUUUCAGCAGGGAGGGCCCCUUCCCCAAGAAUGUUAAACUUGGACAGUCGAGGUUCACAACUGCAAUCGACCACAGACAUGCACCUUGGACAUUAAUGUGCAUAAUUGCACAUGGCUUGUCCCACUUAAGAUCCUACCCUCUCAGACCCCUUUUGUAGUGCAGCAGGGGUGCUGGUCACUAAGGCCUCUUUUCAUGGCUUGCUAUUGUGCAUAAUUGCAUUUGUACAUGUUCCCAUACACUGGAUAAGGAUAUCUCUCUUCCCUCCCCCUUGGACUUUUAGCAGGGAAUGCUCAUUACCUUAAGAUCCUUCUAUUUUAUACAAAGUGCACAGUUUUAAUUGACCACACCAUUUCCUUGGACAUUAAUGUACAUACCUGCAACUUAUUUCGUACUAUUCUAUUGCCUUCAAGUAUACUUGGACCCUUAAGUGCUGACCCCUCAGUUCCCUUUUCUUGUCCUGUUUUAUGUGCAUAAUUGCAUUUGUCUGGGGUCUUGUACACUAGACAAGGACCACUCCCCCUCACCGCCACCCCCCCACUUCCUCUGCCUUCCUAUAUGAUAAGAUGGAGCCCACUGCUAAGACCUUUACAUUUAGACAGUUAAGUACAGAAUUGCAGUGUUCCACAACUGUCACUUCCAGGACUGUUGUAACUUUGCAUUACUGCAGGGGACACUGUUUUCCCCCAAGGCCCCUUUUAGAGGACUGUUAAUAUACAUAAUUGAAACUACUGUCUUCCUCAGCAGAUGUCUUAAAGUCAUAUCACCUCAGCUUCCCUUUACAGUACAACAGUGUGCACUGAUCAACCAAGGCCCUCUUCUGUGCAAUUGCAUUUUCUCCUGUACACUAGAUAAGGGCCCUCCCUACCUGCUUCCUUAGCAUUUUCAGCAGGCAGUGCCCACUACUCAGGACCCUCACUUGGAAAAUAUAUGUGCACAGAUGAAAUUUUCUCAGUAUGUCUUAUAGCAGAUCCCCUGUAUCCUCUGCUUAGAGAAAGGAGAUACUGGUUACCUAAUGCUCGCCCUUUUGGACUUUAAUGUGCAUAAUUGCAAUUGUCCAUCUCUGCUGUUGGAUUAGGAUUGCAGUCCCUCAACCUCUUUGCAUCAGGGGCAUGUUAACCAUGAGUGAGCUCUUCUGGAGAUAAUAUUAACGUGUAUAAUUGUAUUUAGAUAUGGACCUGUACAAUAGGAAAGGAUGCUCUGUGCCCCUACUGCUGCCUGUGUAUUGCUGCUGAGAUAUGCUAUCAGGACCUUACCUCUUUGACAAUUAAUAUGGACCAGUAAUAAUGAUUCAAAGUACUGAUCAUUAGAUAGGACCCUUGUACACCUUUUCCAUACAUCAGGGAUACAAAGGCCCCUUUCUUGGACUAUUAAUGUGAAUAUCGCAGUUGUCUCUGCCCCUUUCUGUUAGAAUAGGAUACCAUUUGCUUUUGCCCCUUUUGCAUUACUGCAGGGGCAGCUGAUCACACAAAACUUCCUGGGACUGUUAAUGAGCAUGACGGCAAUUAGCAAUGAGUUUUUCCUUCCUGGCCUUGUUAGGCAAAACACUCCCAGCCCAGUUGCCCAUGGUAGCAUACAGUAUAAACACUGCAGUAUGCCAUGAACUUGUCCAUCAAACAGUGACCCAUACUCCCACUCCUUUUGUAUUGCUGCAGUGUUUCAUACACACAUUCCCAGUAGUCAUGGUCAUACCUCUUCCCUCUCCCCACCUCCUGCCUGCCUUUGGACCGUUAUGAACUGUUAAUGCUUACGAUUCCAGGAGUCCAUGUGUCCCGCCAUUAGACAAGAUAGGGCUCCUUUGCCCCUCCCGCCCCCACCUUGUCCCUUUGCAUUGUUGCUGGGGAAUGUUGAUUGGGCAAGGAAGGCCCUUUGUCUUGGACUUCAGAUGUUCACAAUCCCAGAUGUCAUUGGUUUACCCACUUUGUAUUGCUCCAGUGCCUCAAGUUGCACUUUCCCUGGUCCUGCCCAUCAGAAAUGGACCCCUGCACUUCCCUUCUUUGCAUUGCUCUUGAGUAGCGCUGACUACCCAAGCCCCCUCUGUGUAUUAAUACAGUACUGACCAUCCUAUGUUUCAGCCCAUCAGACCAGUAUCUCCAUACUACUUUGAUGUAUUUGUGCAGUGUUGACUACAAGCAGCAGGCCUGAACUAGGUGGAUGGGCCUUCACUCCUUUUCUUGCAUUUAUGAAUGAUCUCAGUUCAAUUAUUGUCACAUUCUAGGGACAGGAACCAUCCCUGCCCACCCUUGUUACUGCUUUACUGGGCAAAAUACUAGAGGUAGCUGGAUUGCCACCCUUUAGGAUUUUUAAUAUAUAUGUACAAGUAUCGGUUGAAAAUUGUCUCCCCAGAGAGGGUUAGCAUUAUCUCUGCAUUCUUCUUUCAGAGCAGGUUCCUGGCUAAGAAUCUCUCAGUUGUUGACUAUUGCUAUGGUACAGUGCCAGUUGCCAGGAUACAACCAAAACGUUGCUGUUAAGUUUUUAUUUUUUAAGAAAGACAUGUGGACUGCAAGGUGGAGCUGAUAGAUAACCUGGUCAUUAAGUUUCCGAAGUCUAAAAACCCCAUUUUUAUGAUGUGCUUGAUGACCAGUGUCUCUCAUUUGAUUAAGGGUGGUGGGUCUGUGGAUAGACCACUGUGACGCUUCCUGUUUUAGUAUGAGCAAAGUAGUUAAGGAGUGGAAAUCUUAAGAACAGUACGUUUGGGUUCUGCCAACAUUUUAAACCAUUUUAAAACUAUUCUUUGUUUGGGCUUUACCAUCAUUCACUAUUAGGAAAACUGCCUAAACUUUCUAACACUUAAAUUUCUUCAUCUGGAGCACCAGGCAGUCCUUAACUUAUUUCAAGAAGAUUGCUAUAAAAGGAUGUAGAGAACAGAAUGCUGAGGUGCUUUUGAAAACCACAGAUCACCUUGUUUGAUUAACUUAUUAUAUAAAAUACACCCUGUUUAAUUCAGCUUAUUUAAAGUAGCCUGAGGCACCACACUGAAGUGAGGACUUAGAAAUAAUGGGACCAGUUUCCCUAUUAUAUAUUAAAAGAAAUGUAAGCCAAGAUCUAAUCAUUAUUCUGGACAUAAAUGUCAACAGUGAGAUAGCUGCCUUGUAAAAAUGAAUAAUAAGCCAGCCUUUAGUGUGCAGGGUGUUUGGUGGCAGAGAAGUAUUAAAUAUGGAACUGCUGAAGCAAAUAACUAGUCAUCACAGCAGCAGUUCUUUGUAAUCACUGAAAAAGAAUACUAUUCCUCUGAGAAGGAUGUCAAGAUUGGCCCAGCUCAGGGUGCAGUUUGCACUACUGCUCCUUGAACAUCUGUAAGAAGAGUCUCUGGCUCUUUAGGAUACUGGAUGAAUUCUGAGCCUGUUCUGUAACCCCAUUCAAGAGGAAGGACGGAUCAAUUUUACGUGGAUUGAGACCUACACUAAACCAGCAUGCAAAGAUCUUCCUCGGAAGAACAGGCUUGUUGCUUUACAGUGUUAGGGACCUAUUCCCUUUGACGAUCCCUAGGUGGAGAUGGGGCUUGAGGAUCCUCCAUGGGAAAAGCUCACUACCACUGGGCAACAACCCGAGGCCACAACAUUCUACCAAGAUUUCUUUCCUGGGCCCAGUAGGAAGAUGAAGUCUCAAGACAACCAACACACAUCAGAGGAGAACAUGGACAGCUGCUGCCAUAUCUGCAGCACUGAUCAAGGGCAGAUCAUCAUUCUGGACUCUGUGGUCUCCAGAGUCUCUUGAUGCCUGCUGGAGAACUUUGUGCUAGUCAUUUACAUAGUUCAAGAUGCUUUGAGAUGUCUGUGGGAUAAAACACAAAACAAGCUGUUUGAGAAGAUAAAUGUUUCUUUUUAUGCUGUGUUCACUAAUUGAUGGAACCUGACCAGAAAUGGCACAAAACUAUCCAUCAUCAGGCAGGAUCUAAAGAACGAGGACCCUGCAUCUGCUAGCUCCUGAUUGUUUCCUUCAUAGCUGCCAAAGAAUUAUCCCUCCCAAAAGCAGUGCAGAGAGCAAUAAAUAUGAACACACCAAAGGAAGAGCAACAUGCCUGGCACUCUAGCAUUUUACACUAGCAGAAUGAAUGUGUAUUUCUUUGCUUGUCUAAUUCCUCCGUGAAUGUCUUUGGUCUUUCUUCUCUAUCUACAGUGUAUCUUACUGUUCCCACAAGUCUCUUCCUGGUUUCUUUGUGUAUCUUUGUCUCAUUUUACACUUGUUUGUCCCCAAGAGUUGUCUGUGCCAUGUCUUAGAUGUCUGCCUUUAGUUUUUUCAUUUUAUUGCUGAUUCUCUUUGCUCUCCUAGAUAUGGCUCCUUUUUCACUGUUUUCUUUCCCUUUAUGGCUCUGAAUCAUAUGCUGUGUGCUUUUUGCUGGUUUCUUGUUCUGCCUAUCUCUCUUUUCUCUGUGUGAACUCGUUUGUUCAUCAUUCCCUCUCCUCGUUGCCUUGACGUUUCACCUUCUGAUUCUGACCUUCCUUCUGGUUGUUUCUACUCCUUAUCUUGCAUUUCUUUCUGUAUGUCCUCUCUGUCUUGUGCUAUUUUCUCUUUCUCUCCUGCUCUGGGUGUCUGUGUCUCUACUCUCUGUGAUUUUCCAUUUUCAGUGUUCAUCUCUCUGUGCUCUUGUUCCUUCUCUGCCUUUUCUCUUAUACUCACCUUUGAGUAUUUCAGCUUCUUCAUGAACCUGUGUUACCCCCUCUGGUUUCAUGCAGUCUUCUCUCCUUGCAUAUUUUGUGUGUAUGUAUGUGUGUGCUACUGUAUGUGUGUCUGUGGUAGAGGGGAUUCUCAACCCCUUCCUAGUAGGUGCAGACUGUCACCUAUCAAAAUAAGCAUUGCAGAGCUGUUCCUUACCCCAGGCUGCCCUCUGAGAUGAUAAAAGACCUAACAUGGACAGAAGGUGGAAGGCCCAAAGUAGAAGACAGAUGGAUUGAGACUUGAGACCUAAAGACUAAAAUGGAAAACCUGUGUCCCAAGAUGGAUGGAAACCUCAGGCCUGAGACUGUCUGAAGCCCUAAGAGUUACAAUGUACAGAAGGUAGGCCUUGUUGGACAGAGACUUAAAGACCUGACUGAGUUGGGUGGAAGGCUCAAGUCUUGAAUUAUAUAAAAAGCUGAAGACCCAGGAUGGGAGCUAAGGAAGGCCUGAGAACUAAGACAAAAGGCUCAAGAUAAGGCCUAAGAUAAAAAGCCUUAGCUUAAACACCUAAGACUCAAGGAUGGAAGACCUCAGACACACAAAAAAUUGAGACCGAGGACUCAAGCCUCUCUAGAUGAAUAGGAUGCCCAAGAGAGAAAAGUAACUCAAGACUAAAUCAGGUGGGAAGCUGGAGGGCCAUGACCCAGAAUCUAAGGAUAGAAGUCCCAGGAUGAGAGGAAACCCAAAGAUGAGAACCCUAAGUCCCACCUCUUUUCUAUUGUUACCUUCCCUGCUCCUGGACAUUUUCAGUUCUCCCUUUCCAGUUUUUAUAUCUCCAUUUAAGCCCACUUUUGAAGUGUCCUUUUUGAUGUUACUAUUACCUUAAACAUAUCUUUAGCUGGCAAUAUUAUGCUUAGGCCAUUCUUAAGCCAGUUUUCAUCAUAAUUUUGAACCUUUCAUCAAGUGUUUGGUGCUUUUUAGACUUAGACUUCUUUUCACCACUUGACAGAAACAUGACAGGUAACAUUGUAUUUCAAUUCUCCAUUUUCCUCAGAAACUCUAGGCUGAUGAGAAGAGGAAAGCAUCAGGCUGUUGGGGAAAAAAGUGCCGGGCUAUCUAGAGAAAAUGUGAAGAGAUGCUCCAGGCCAGUGAGAAGAAUUAGACAAAAGACAGGUUUGCCAGCCUGCUGAGAAACACCAGCCAGCAAUACCUUACGUCUUUGAGCUUGGGUGAGCAGGAUUCCUGGGGUUUGGGAUUUCUAGUGAUGGCUACAAAAAGGAAUGAGAUGACGGCCUGUGACAGAGUAAAGCCCCAAGGAGCCAGCCUGAACUCCCUGCUCAUGGUAGUGGCCUCAUUUGGUGGACUAUGUCAAGCCUGUCCCUGGGUUUAAUGCCCAUUUCUAGCCUUAAAGGAGUGAGAACUUGGGAACAUUUAGCAGGUUUAAUCCUUUCUUUGACUUUUUUCCGUCCUUACCAUGAGGGAAGACAAUUUGAAUGAUUGUGAAUAUAUUUGACAGCACUCUAAAACACAGAAAAAAGCAAGGCACUCUCAUUCAUAGUAUAUUAACAGCCACGCACAGCUAACAUUUGAAAGUGCACUGUCAGCUCUGAAGCAUUAUGUAAAUAGGUCAUCACACCCUUUUUGUAAGGGUCAGAUGGUAAAUAUUUUAGGCUUGAAGAGCCAUAUGGUUUUUGUUGCUUUAAAAAAAAAACGCUUUAAAAAGGAAAAGCUAUGCUUAGCUCCUGAACCGAGUGGAUUUGGUCCGUAGGCCAUAGUUUACCACCCCUGAUAUAAAUGCCAGGGACUGUGUGCUGAAUAAUAUUAAUUUCCUCCUGUGGGCCUGUCCCUGUGCUGGGUGCUGAGGAUGCAGUUAUUAGGUAUGAUCACAUCCAGUUUACCUAAACUUAAAAUGUGAAUGUGCUUUUGUAAACUGUAAAGCACCUAAAGACUUAACGAGUUUCAGAGUUGAUGAAUGAAUAUUGAUUGCAUAGCGUACACAUUCUACUGUGCUAAGGCUCUGUGGAUACAAAGAUUAAAAGAAGCAUGAAUAAAGUGCUGCGCCAAAAGUAUAAUACUUCACAUAUACUAGGAAUUAAGUGUUGAUAAAUGGGCAAUUCAUGUAUUUGUGGCCAUCAUGUUUUUGCUGCUAUGGUGAUUUUGAGUAAAAAGAGUAUCCAGGUAGCAAACACAUGGAAACUUCUUUUAAACUAUAAUACAUUACAAACACAAGGGAUUAAGCUAUUGUGAUCAAUAAUGUGCCAGAUAUACUAGGCACUAAAGAUAUCAAAGAAAAAAAAGCAUUCUCAUAGAAAUAAAAUUUCAGAUAAGUGCAUAUUGAAAACUAAAGCACUAUGUAAAUACAAAUGCGCUACAUGCGUGUGAAUGAAUGAAUAAAUAUUAACUGCCUUUUGUGUACCAGCUAUUGUUUCAGGUACUGUGAAAUGCCAGAUAAUGCUCCCAAGUAGUAAGAGGGAGGUUUAUGUCCUAUACUAUUCACUAUACAUUGCUUAUUUUAACCAAUCAAGACUUUACUGGUGAUGUCAAAUUGAUACCAGUGUAUUUUCCUAGGUAACAGCAAAAUGUAAUGAAUGAGACUGCACUUUCUAAACUAUAAAGUGCUAUAUAAAACUUAGACAUUAGAUGUUUCCUGUGUGACUAAAAUUUUUUGCAUGACAGGCAUUAUCUCUACAAAAUUCUUGUGUGCUUGACCCACUAUGAAAGGGGUAAUACAAAUAGUUACAUAAACUGAAGGUUUAAAUAUUUGUUAAUCAGUUGCCUACUAGGUGAACUCACUACAGGCAUUAAAGAGCUAAAUAAAUUUAUCAUUUCAUUUUGUCUAUAGUUGAGAAUAAGGCAAUACAUAUGUUAGCAUUUUGUGAACUCCAAAGCACCAUGUAAAUAUAUGUAAAUUGAUUUUCUCAUGUGGUGCCAAGUACUAAGCUUGUAAGAUUGUUACACAGUUUUAUAUGUAUAUAUAAAUACAUACAUAUAUAGAUAUAACAUAAAAUAAUAAUCAUUAUAAUUGUAUCAUCAUUAUAUAUAUGAAAAAUUUGAGGAAGGACUAUUAACUGUUGAAAACCAGAAUAUAAGUGUAGAGGAUUUAAUGUAUAAAGAAGGCAAAACUGGAUAAUUCUAUUUUGUGCCAGUUUCCUUGCUAGGCACUGAGGAUGUGAAGAUGAAACCAUCUUUAUUGUGUCCUGGGUAGCAGAAGAUAAUGUAUACAAUCAAUAAGUCUCAAAUUGCCAUACAUAGAUAAGCACUAUCUGUUGAUGGAACACUAUUCAUUUACUCUGUCUUAUCCUCAGAGAAAGUAACUGGGGAUGUAAAAAUUCAUUAUCAUUGAACCUACACCAGAGAUCUGUGUAAACUUACAAAGCUGACUAAGGAAUUAACUGUUGGUUUAAGGAAUGAUUACUGAUUACUUUUUAUGAGGCUUAGAACUGUGCAUGGCCUAGGAUAUAAAAAUACUAUCCUUAUUGGGUGUUCCCAGCAGGAAAAUGAGGUAUAGGUGUGAGAUCCAGACUGAAAGUUACUUAACCACUGUGAAGCUUAUGUGAUGAUGAAAAUGGGAAAAACAGAAUUGUGCAGGACAGUAGGCCAAACGCUGAGCUAGGUGGAAAGAUAAAGUUCAGACCAGAAGUCUACAUGCUCCCUGGUCUGAAUAAAGAGAUGCAGAAAUUUUUCUAAAAAGUAAAGUGCUGUGGUUCUCCACCAGUACCAGUUUUUAAAAAUGCUGAGUGCUGAUGAUGGAGAUAUUUUAAGUCCACGCUUGCCUGGCUUAGAUACACUAAAGGACUAAAAAUAAAUGGCUCAGGUUUACUUUAGGUUAAUUUGCUAAGCAGAGCAUCUUUUAUGUAGAAUAUCAUUCUAGAUCCAGAGCAUAAGUGAAGUGAAAUGAGCUUUGUCUAAAGGGUAUCAGAUCACAAAUCAUAGCUGAAGAUACAAAGACAUCUUUGACUUUUGAGUAGGUAUUUCUGUGCCUGUUCUCCAGAAGGCAGUAUGCUUGAUGAAUUAAUCUAGUAGGUCUGGUUUCGAGGAUCUGUUGACUUGCCUUGGAGAUAGAAAAAGAUGGCAUGGUUCUUUAAAUACAAAAGGAAGAUAUUUUUCAUAGUUCUAGAAAGUCCCAUGUCACUUGCUUAUUUACAUGGCUUAAAGCCAGAAGAAGCCAGAUAAAAGGGCUCAAUGUUUGUCCUUUAAUAAAAUGUGAAUUAUAGUGAAAUGGUUUAAGAUACAAAUUAAGAUGAAACAACUUGUUUUAAAAGUAUUUGCUCAUUGGACUGGCUUAGAGUCAGGAAGCCACUUGAGCUAUAUAGAUGAUUAUUUCUAGAUUGUCCGUAUUUUGUAAAAAUUUAUUCAUUCUGGAUAAAGUCCUGUUCUUGAGUGUUUAGAUGAAGAGAUUUAAAAGACCUAGACCAAAACGCACUUUAAUCUCACUAGCUUAUAGUGGAAACACAAGAACAAAUUUAAUAAGAGACUAUAGUUCUUCAAUUAGUUGAAAAAACUUCAUUGGAGCAGCUGUGAUACUAAAGCACUGAGAAGGAAUGAUGAAAUAGAUCACCUCUUUGGCAUGCUUUGUAGAGUAGGAAUAAAAGCUUUUUUUAUUCAUUCAUUCAUACAAACAAGAAGGUGGUGCUAAAUGAAACAGGUCUGGUACUAAAGGUGCUUAGUCUGUCUUGAAAAUGCAGUAAAAACAAGAAGUGGAAUGAAAACCUUUAUUAAUCAGAAAUUUGUUUAUUUCAAGGUAACAGUGUUAAUUCCUUGACAGAAAACAAGUCGUGACUAAAGCACACUUUCUAAAAUUGGCUUGGAGACUAGAAUAUAAGAGAAAGGUCACUGUUCAUUCACUUUUUUCAUUCACUCACUCUACCAAGUAUAUUUGAGUGUCUACUGUGUAUAAGGUCCUUUGCUACAUUUUCAGUUGGCCCCAGAGACGUGAAACAAACGAAUGCCUUCCCAGACAACUUUUAAAACUUUGCUUUUGGCCUGUUUUCUGGUUAUGGGCAAGAUUUAAUCUCUGAAUAAUAUUAGGGGGGUUUAAUUCCUACUCCAUAUUAUUUUCUACCACUCUGGCCACUAUAAUAAGCAGGGUUUUCUACUGAGCUUGCUCCAUAAGUUGCAGGAACUGUCCUUAUAAUAGACACUUCCUUUUCUCCUAGCCUAUUCCUCAUGAAAAAUGGCUGUGACCACUGCUGGGUAGGAGGAGAGAUAACAAAGAACUAAUUCCCAAACCUGCCUCAUUGGUACCAGCAUUGGGGAAUCAAUCAUUCUCAAGCCACAAUUGGUUUUGAAACAUUUACCAACUUUGUCUGUUUUCAGUUCUUUACAUUUUACAUUCUGACAAAUGUAUACUGCCUAAAUAGAUCUCUUUGAAGAAGAGUCCUUAAAUAGCACAUAGCAAGACUGGAGAUGGAGACAUGAUUUCUCUUUUGCAAUAGUUUCUCAACAUACACCUUAGAAACCUCACCAUCAAAACCUGUUCAAGAAAGGACUUGUUAUAGUGGAAUAAUGUCAGUGAAUGAAAAUAGCUUAACAAUUUCACCAUGCUGAAGUUUUAAGAACAGUAACAAUUGGAAUUAGAAAAAAUAGGAGGGAAAAAUAUUACUUUAAAAUUCUCUCCAAAUAUAGGCCAGACUGGGGUUUGACCUUUUCUUUUUUUUAAAUCACUCACAGAGGGUGGGAUAGGAGGAAGAGUGAAAGAAAAGGUCAAACCUGUUUGUAAGGGCAGCCUGCCUUUCCUGGAUUGGUCUUAAAAGCAUUACUACCUCCGGUCUAACUUGGGGAUUGCUUUAUUCACUUUAAUGCAGUUCUAAUAACUGGUCAUUGUUGAGAUGAAGACAGACUCCUUUGCUCCCAGUCAUUUCUGUAAGUUCUUGAGAAACAGUAAUUGGUUGAUUGGUUUGGUUAUCAGCUAAGCCUUAGGCUAUGUAAUAAUGGAUUUUAUUAACAUGACCUCUCCAUCAUAAGGUAGUAAAGCUCAAGUCAAAAUUAACUACAAAGGAAGAUGACUUUUGUUCACUGUAAUUCAUACAUACUUCAAAGCAUCUAAACUUGAGAAUAUGUGGCAAGCCAACAGUAUCAUCCAUAAAUGGAGAAGGAAUUAGAGGAAUGACAGAGGCUAAUUGGUGGAGGGAGCAAGGCUAAAGAGGAUUAGUGGGUGAUCUUUCGAAUUUUGGAUCCGUACAUUUUAAUUUGUACAUCAGAUACAUCCAAAAUAUUAUCUGGCUUUUAAUAUGUGCUGUCAGCAGGGUUGAGUAAAACCUCUUCAGGUGGGGAUGGGGGAUUGCAUUAUUAGGAAGUGGAAAGGAGAAAGUCACUAAGAGCCUUCCUUUCACAGUUCCUGACAUCCUAAGACUACUACUGAUAAGAAUAAGAGAACAUGCUGACACCUGAUUUUUGUCACAUAAAUGAAGUUGUGAACAAAUCUAUUUUUAAAGGAUAUUACUCCAUCUCUACCCUUCCACCUGAAAGGGAAUCCAUGUCAAAAUGCUCUGAUAAAUUGAAGAUAAACUGACUUGUGAACUGAUGUGAAAUGCAGAAUCUCUGAGCCUUGACUGGUUUGAAGAUUGAAAAACCUUGCUCAGCAUGGGCGAACACCAAAAGGCUAUCUAAUGUUAUCUGUUUCAGAACCAAGAAAAAUUGGGGAGUAUGUAGUCUACUGUCAAAUAAAAUGUACUAUUUUGAAAACUA